UAUACGAUGAAGAGUUUGAUCCUGGCUCAGGAUGAACGCUAGCGGCAGGCCUAACACAUGCAAGUCGAGGGGUAGAGGAAGCUUGCUUCCUUGA
rnacentral:rRNA from 1 species